rfam:Vitis vinifera, whole genome shotgun sequence of line PN40024, chromosome 6, chr6
UGGGGAGUGGCCAAGUGGUAAGGCAACGGGUUUUGGUCCCGCUAUUUGGAGGUUUGAAUCCUUCCGUCCUAG